rnacentral:rRNA from 1 species
CCGCCCUGUUUAACCAAAACCUGUCCUAUAGAUUUAAUUUUAGGUUUAAUCUGCUCCGUGAUUAAUUUUAAAUAGCUGCCGUAUUUUGGCUGUCCAAGGUAGCAUAAUCCUUUGUUUUUUAAUUGGAGGCUUGUAUGAAUGAUUGGNCCAGAAAUUAGCNUUNUUUAUUUAAUAAUUUUGGAUUUAAUUUUUUAGUUUAAAAGNUUAAAUUUAUUUGUUAGNCAAGAAGACCCAAUAGAAUUUUAUUUUAUUUAUUUUAUUUAUUUUAUUUUUAAAUGUUUUUAAUUUAAUUAAAAUUUGGNUGGGGNGNCUGUNAAAAUUAUUUAACNUUCCUUUUUUUUUGUUCAUAAAUUAAUGUAUAUAUGAUCCUGUUUUAUAGAUUAAAAGAUUAAAUUACCUUAGGGAUAACAGCGUAAUUUUUUUGGAGAGUUNUUAUCGAUAAAGGAGUUUGCGACCCUCGAUGUUGGAUUAAAGUAAGAUUUUGGUGCAAGUGCUA